UAAUACGUAGGGGGCAAGCGUUGUCCGGAUUUAUUGGGCGUAAAGAGCGUGUAGGCGGCCAGACAGGUCCGUUGUGAAAACUAGAGGCUUAACCUCUAGACGUCGAUGGAAACCGUCUGGCUAGAGUCCGGAAGAGGAGAAUGGAAUUCCUGGUGUAGCGGUGAAAUGCGCAGAUAUCAGGAAGAACACCCGUGGCUAAGGCGGUUCUCUAGUACGGUACUGACGCUGAGACGCGAAAGCGUGGGGAGCGAACAGGAUUAGA
rnacentral:rRNA from 1 species